rnacentral:lncRNA from 1 species
CGACCCCCUGAGCUCCAGGCCUGGAGGGCAGCUUGGACAGUCCCUGCUGUCCCACGUGAGCAGGAGAUGGCUGGACGAUAGACGCUGCAUUCUGGACAACCGGAGUCUUCUGUACCACGUUCUCCUUCUGCAGCUGGCUCUGCCUCAGCUUCUUCAGCAGCACCAGCCUGGCCUCCUCCAGCCGCAGCUCGUCCCGGAGCUGCUUGAUGAGCUGCUGCCGCUCCUCUAUGC